UCUACUUCUUCUUCUUCUUCCUUGUUCAGUCCCAUUAAACCCAUCUGUUUUCUCUCUCGGUUCCUUUUUAGGGUUUGAUGUCUUUUUCUUAGAUUGAGAUUUUUGAUUUGAUCUAUCAUUUCUUUUUGGCAUAUCUUAGAUUGAGAUUUUCUAGGGUUUGAUAUCUUUAUCUUAGAUUGAGAUUGAGAUUUCAUCUCCUAGCCAGAUUCAGCCACCCCAUGAUGAAGAAGAAGAGGAAGAAAAGGAUAAAAAGAUAGGGAUUUUGAUAAUUCUACUCGGUAUGUGCAGUCCCGGAAAUUCAAAUCCAAAAGUGGUGUAAAUAGACAAAGGAAGACCUUGUCAUUUCUAUACGUUAUUCAUUUGGUUAGAAUUGAAGCUGAAGAGGUUAGAAUUGAAGCUGCUUCGGGUAUCCAUGACUUUAAAGGAGCCGCUAGUGGAGAAAACAUCACCGGAAAACAUUUGAAAGGGAGAUCGUAGAGACAAACCUACGGCAUUAUGAUUUUUCUCUCACACAGCAGAAAUUUAUGGAUUCAUUAUUUUUUUUUGUACAUAACUAUUCUUUUUUCUUUCAAGAAUUAAAUGGUUCCCACUUUGUUCUGAUCUUUAGGAUCCAUUUGAUUCUGUAUAAAUGUUUCAUUCCUUGUUCAGCAGCAUCAUUUCUCAAUUUUAUAAUGUCUUGUACAACACAAGAAAAACUUGUGCUUGAAUGGGGUUAUUCCAGUAAGCACUGGGAGGUCAAAUUUCACCUGAUGAAGAAACUCCCCUGUAGCUCUGGCCCUCUGGGAACCUGUAUUAAGCAACUAUUGAUACAACAAGGCUGCUUGCUGUUGCUUUUUUGUGUGCUAAAUUUGAUUGGAAAACCCAUCACAUUAACAGGGCGUAGGCACUACAAAUUCUUUGAGGUUUGUUAUAGGAGCAGCAAAGAAACAACUAUAUGAGGACAAGUCCUCAAUUUUGGAUAACAGCAAUGACAAAUCUAAGACGAAUAUCGACAAGGUUAUGUCAAAUGCACUUCGGCAAGAAACAGGGAUUUCAGUUUGUUCAUGGAGUCACAAAUAGGAAAAAUGUGGGUGGAAAAUAGGUGGAACCUGAGGAAAAGAAAGAAAGGAGAAUCACUUAUUUUGUUAUUGGAGCCCUUUCUCGGAGAAGUUUCUCGGAGUUCUCUUACAAUGGAGGAGGAGGAAUAUGUGGCACUGAUGAAAGCAUUAGUUGCUGAGAUAGCUGGGAAUAGGACUAUUCCAUUUUGACAACAGUUACAGACCAUGCCCACUUGUUGAACUGUAUACUUGAACCACUAAGAAGAAGCUUUUGCAGAGAUUCAGUUGAUGGAUAAUAUUUGUUAUUAGAAGGUCAUGGCUAGAGCAGGUAGGCUUCGAGUCAUAUUUGUUCACUCGAGGAAAGAGAGAGUGAAAACUAAAAGAGGUUAGUGUAAGCCGUGAGAUUUUACAGACUGAAACGAGUCAUGAUAGGUGCAUUGAUCCGAAGGACUUGUUGCUGUAUCGUUAGCAGUUCAUCGUACCGGUAUGGCGAGAACUUACCGUUGUCUGGUUGAGGAACUUUCAGAUGAAGGGCAUGUAAAAGUGUUGAUUCUCACUGCAACCCUUGCGUGGGAUAUCAAUUUACCAGCUCACACACUUUGAUCAUCAAGGGUACUCGGAUUUACACUCAGAUGCUUGGUCGUGUAGGAAGGCCUCAGCAUGACACCUCCGGACAUGAGUGCUAAGAAGAAUGCAACUGGCUUUAGCUAUACAUACUGGAUACUUGUACGUCAUCAUGGUGAGGAAUCCAAGGACUUGUUGCUGUAUGGGUUAAUUCAUCGUGCCGGUAUGGCGAGAGCAAACCAUUGUCUGGUUGAGGAACUUUUAGAUGAAGGGCACAUACAAGUGUUGGUCUUCACUGCAACCCUUGGGUACCAGCCGACACUUCAAUCAUCAAGGGAAGGCCUCAGCAUGACACCUCCAGGGAGCGGAUUAUCAUAACAGGGCAUAGUGAGCUGUAGUAUUAUCUCUUGUCCAUGAAUAACCAACUGCCUGUAAGAAGUCAGUUUGUGUUGAAAUGGCUGGCCUGCUAAUGCUGAAAUUGUUGUUGGAACAGUUCAGAGUGCUAAAGAAGAACGCAACUGGCUUUAGCUAUACAUACCUGAUACUUACACGUAUGCAUGGGGAGAAAUCCAACAUUUUUUGGUUUGCAGCAGAUGUUGUGAGUAGAGACAUCACUCGGGAAGAAAGGAGGGCCGAUUUGUUUCAGAUUUGAAACUUAAAAUUUUGGAGUUUGGAAAGUUCUUUGUACAGCGAAAUUGAAAGUGGUGGAUUCGUGUUUGUUAUCAAGUUUUCUUCCAAUGGAGGAGGAGGAAUAUGCGGCACAGAUGAAAGCAGUACAGUAUAAAAGUUAAUGAGCUAAGAGGAGAUCAGUCCCUGACUUUCCACAAAUUGAUGACACACGAUAAUUGUUACGGCUCCUGAGAAGCGGGAUAUUACACUAGAAAUCGGGAGACCGAAGAUCCAUCUACUUCUCGAUAAUAGGGGGGAAUUCAUGCAAGUAUUGUUGCCAGAACAAUUAGACUAGUUGAGACUAUUAAGGAGCACAUUUGUCAGCUACAGUCCCCAAUUACAAAGAUAUGGCUUUAUUUUUUAGAGUUGGAUAGGACUGUUCCAUUUUGGCAACAGUUACAGACCAUGUCCACUUGCUCAACAGCAUACUGGGGAUCACUGAGAUAAAGCCUUUGCAGAGAUUCGGUUGAUGAAUUAUAUUUGUUAUGAGAAGAUCAUGGAUAGAGCAGAUUGGCUUCCGGUCAUAUUUGUUCAUUCGAGGAAAAUUAAGUGUAAACUGCACGUGCAAUACGAGACACUGCUCGUCGUUUCCCAAAAGAGGUUAGUGUAAGCUGUGAGAUUUUACAGACUGAAAUGGGUCAUGUUAGGUGCAAUGAUCCCCAAGGAUUUGUUGCUGUACGAGUUAGCAAUUCAUCGUGACGGUAUGGCGAGAACAGACCAUUGUCUGGUUGGGGAACUUUUAGAUGAAGGGCAGGUACAAGUAUUGGUUUACACUGCAACCUUGUGUUGGUUGUUAAUUUACCAGCCCACAGUUUGAUCAUCAAGGGCACUCAGAUUUACAAUCCUGAGCAACGAGCAUGGAAUGAAUUAAGUCCUUUAAGUGUCACUCAGAUGCUUGGCUGACACCUCCUGGGAAGGGAUUAUCAUAACAGGACAUAGUGAGCUGUAGUAUUAUCUCUUGCUCUGGGAAAUUGGCUGACCAGCUAAUGCUGAAAUUGUUCUGGGAACAGUUCAGAGUGCUAUAGAAGAAUGCAACUUGCGUAACUAUACAUACUUGUAGCACACAUGGUGAGGAAUCCCAGCUGAUGUUCUGAGUAGAGGCAUGACUUUGGAAGAAAGGAGGGUUGAUUUGAUCCAUUCUGCUGCAGAACAAUAAUAAUCUAGUGAAAUAUGAUCAGAAAAGUGGGUCUUUCCAGGUCACUGACCUUGGUCUGAUUAUUAGACAGCUAUAUAAGCCAUGGAACCAUAGUUAUUUACUAUGCUAAAGCCAUCAAUGGAUGAUACCAAGCUUUGUCGGGUGUUCUUUCUCAGCAAAGAAUUCAAAUAUGUGACAGUGAGACAAGACGAGAAGAUGAAACUUGCGAAGCGUUUAAACCUUGUACCCUGCGAAGGAAAGCUUGGAAAACCCAGUGCCAAAAUAUAUGCUUUGCUCGAAGGCUACAUUUCACAACUGAAGCUUGAAGGGCUCGCACUGGCUUCCAGUAUGGUGUUCUUCACUCAGGUAGCAGUGUAGAAUUUCUGUCUUUCAGCUUCAAUGUAAUCAUAAAUUUUGCUUUGAUGGUUUACUUGUGUAUAAGCUCAAAAGGAAGAAAAAAAUCAGUUGAUAAAUGAAUCCCGAUUUGUUGACCUUUA